rnacentral:rRNA from 1 species
GACGAACGCUGGCGGCGUGCUUAACACAUGCAAGUCGAACGAUGAAGCUAGAGCUUGCUCUGGUGGAUUAGUGGCGAACGGGUGAGUAACACGUGAGUAACCUGCCCCGAACUCUGGGAUAACUGCUGGAAACGGUAGCUAAUACCGGAUAUGACCAAUGAAGGCAUCUUCUGUUGGUGGAAAGAAUUUCGGUUCGGGAUGGACUCGCGGCCUAUCAGCUUGUUGGUGAGGUAACGGCUCACCAAGGCGACGACGGGUAGCCGGCCUGAGAGGGUGAUCGGCCACACUGGGACUGAGACACGGCCCAGACUCCUACGGGAGGCAGCAGUGGGGAAUAUUGCACAAUGGGCGCAAGCCUGAUGCAGCAACGCCGCGUGAGGGACGACGGCCUUCGGGUUGUAAAGCUCUUUCGUCCGGGACGAUAAUGACGGUACCGGAAGAAGAAGCCCCGGCUAACUUCGUGCCAGCAGCCGCCGUAA